UACGGGGGGGGCAAGCGUUGUUCGGAAUUACUGGGCGUAAAGGGCUCGUAGGCGGCCAACUAAGUCAGUCGUGAAAUCCCUCGGCUUAACCGGGGAACUGCAUCUGAUACUGGAUGGCUUGAGUUCGGGAGAGGGAUGUGGAAUUCCAGGUGUAGCGGUGAAAUGCGUAGAUAUCUGGAGGAACACCGGUGGCGAAGGCGGCAUCCUGGACCGACACUGACGCUGAGGAGCGAAAGCCAGGGGAGCAAACGGG
rnacentral:rRNA from 1 species